rnacentral:misc_RNA from 1 species
CCUAGAGUUGUAGGCUUUGCCUGCUAUCUCUUACCCAUGUCUUUUGAGUACCUUACGUUUCCUCGGCGGGUCCGCCCACCGAUUGGACAAAUUUAAACCAUUGCAGUUGCAAUCAGCGUCUGAAAAAACUUAAUAGUUA